UGUUCCUGCAAGUUCUGCAGACGUGCCCAAAAUGCCAGGAGUUGGGAGAACUGCAACCCUAAGACUAGAGGGUGUGUCCAGGCAGUCCAGCCAGCUCCAUGGCCACCCAUGACUUCUGGAAAUAGGAAGAGAGUGUUCUCUGCUCAUUGUCUGCUCUCAGGAUUACGCAUGGCCGCAAAUAUGAGAAUGGCGAAAGAAGAGCAACUGAAAUGAGAUAAACGUGUACAGAUCUCUCAGGGAUACCACCUCCUCAGAGCCCAGGAUUGACAACAUCCAGAAACCCAGCCCAGCCAAAAAGAGGAC